rnacentral:tRNA from 2 species
CGGGCUAUAGUAUACCGGUAGUACGCAUGCAUGGGGUGCAUGUAGAUCGGGUUCGAUUCCCGAUAGCCCGA